UCAGGAACACAGAGAGACAGGCAUGGCACCUCCACCUCUUCCUCUCCCUCUAGUGCUAACCGCAGCCAUCCUUUCAACUUGCCACCAACUCAAAAAUUAAAGAGGAAUGUCAGGAGAACUCAUUCAGGAAAUUAAAACUCAACUUCGUUGCUUUAAUUGGACGAACGGAUCCGUGAAACGUUCCUGCACAAUCAGCCAUUAAAGGCCACGGUGAGCUCCCUCGAUCUCCCCAUACCGACCCCCUCUUCCCCUAUAAAUAGGACCCCGGAAAGCACAACAUAUCUCACCAUCCCUAAGCUAGAAACCCCUCUCUGUGUCGCUCUCCUACGCGAGCAAUUGCUCGCCGGAGUUCAACAAUAGCAUCAAAGUCCGACGAGGAUUCCGUCGCGAGCGAGCAGGAGAACGAGAACGCGAGGAUCGAGACUCACUGCCGCCAUGCGCAACUUCAGCCGCUUCUGUCGAGUGAAGGAGAAAGCUCCCGAGAUCCUACAGAGUCCAUUGAAUUCUCCAUCACCAUCUCUCCGCCGUCCGCCAUUCCUAAUUCGCCAGAGCACGCCCGAACCACCAUCUUCCUCAUCACCGGCGACCAACUCCGAUUACGACGAGUGCGAGGGUGAAUUCUACGAGGAGGUAGAACCUUGUUACUGCGAAACCAAAGG